CUUCUCUAAGGAAUAGCCACUGGAAACGGUGAGUAAUACCUUAUACGCCCUUCGGGGGAAAGAUUUAUCGGAGAAGGAUUAGCCCGCGUAAGAUUAGAUAGUUGGUGGGGUAAUGGCCUACCAAGUCUACGAUCUUUAGCUGGUUUUAGAGGAUGAUCAGCAACACUGGGACUGAGACACGGCCCAGACUCCUACGGGAGGCAGCAGUGGGGAAUCUUGGACAAUGGGCGCAAGCCUGAUCCAGCCAUGCCGCGUGAGUGAUGAAGGCCUUAGGGUCGUAAAGCUCUUUCGCCAGAGAUGAUAAUGACAGUAUCUGGUAAAGAAACCCCGGCUAACUCCGUGCCAGCAGCCGCGGUAAUACGGAGGGGGUUAGCGUUGUUCGGAAUUACUGGGCGUAAAGCGCACGUAGGCGGAUCAGAAAGUAAGGGGUGAAAUCCCAGGGCUCAACCCUGGAACUGCCUCUUAAACUCCUGGUCUUGAGUUCGAGAGAGGUGAGUGGAAUUCCGAGUGUAGAGGUGAAAUUCGUAGAUAUUCGGAGGAACACCAGUGGCGAAGGCGGCUCACUGGCUCGAUACUGACGCUGAGGUGCGAAAGUGUGGGGAGCAAACAGGAUUAGAUACCCUGG
rnacentral:rRNA from 1 species